GGGGUCAUAGCUCAAUGGAGGAGCAUUUGAUUGCAGAUCAAGAGGUCCCAGAUUCAAAUCCUGGUGCCCCCU
rnacentral:tRNA from 1 species